AUUGAACGCUGGCGGCAGGCCUAACACAUGCAAGUCGGGCGAGCGGCGGACGGGUGAGUAAUGUAUGGGGAUCUGCCUGAUGGAGGGGGAUAACUACUGGAAACGGUAGCUAAUCCCGCGUACAAUAGGAUGAGCCAAAGUGGGAUUAGGUAGUUGUGGAGGUAAAGGCUCACCAAGCCGACGCUCUAUAGCUGGUCUGAGAGGAUGACCAGCCACACUGGGACUGAGACACGGCCCAGACUCCUACGGGAGGCAGCAGUGGGGAAUAUUGCACAAUGGGCGCAAGCCUGAUGCAGCCAUGCCGCGUGUAUGAAGAAGGCCUUAGGGUUGUAAAGUACUUUCAGCGGGGAGGCGUUACCCGCAGAAGAAGCACCGGCUAACUCCGUGCCAGCCGCCGCGGUAAUAC
rnacentral:rRNA from 1 species